rnacentral:rRNA from 1 species
CCUACGGGCGGCUGCAGUGGGGAAUCAUUCACAAUGGGCGCAAGCCUGAUGAUGCAACGCCGCGUGCGGGAUGAAGGCCUUCGGGUUGUAAACCGCUUUUCAGGGGGAAGAAUAACUUGACAUUACCCCUGGAAUAAGCUCCGGCUAACUCCGUGCCAGCAGCCGCGGUAAGACGGAGGGAGCAAGCGUUGCUCGGAAUUACUGGGCAUAAAGGGCGUGUAGGCGGCCUGACGGGUUGGAUGUGAAAGCCCCCGGCUCAACCGGGGAAUAGCGUCCAAAACUAUCAGGCUCGAGCAGAGCAGGGGGAAGCGGAACUGUGAGUGAAGCGGUGAAAUGCGUUGAUAUUCACAGGAACGCCGGUGGCGAAAGCGGCUUCCUGGGCUCUUGCUGACGCUGAGGCGCGAAAGCCAGGGGAGCGAACGGGCUUAGAUACCCUGGUAGUC